UACAGAGGUCUCAAGCGUUGUUCGGAUUCAUUGGGCGUAAAGGGUGCGUAGGCGGCUCUGCAAGUCCUGCGUGAAAUCUCGAGGCUCAACCUCGAGCGGUCGUGGGAAACUGGAGGGCUAGAGUGCGGGAGAGGGAAGUGGAAUUCCAGGUGUAGCGGUGAAAUGCGCAGAUAUCUGGAAGAACACCCGUGGCGAAGGCGGCUUCCUGGAACGACACUGACGCUGAGACGCGAAAGCGUGGGGAGCAAACGGG
rnacentral:rRNA from 1 species